rnacentral:rRNA from 1 species
AGUGAACGCUGGCGGUAGGCCUAACACAUGCAAGUCGAACGGCAGCACAGGAGAGCUUGCUCUCUGGGUGGCGAGUGGCGGACGGGUGAGGAAUACAUCGGAAUCUACCUUUUCGUGGGGGAUAACGUAGGGAAACUUACGCUAAUACCGCAUACGACCUUCGGGUGAAAGCAGGGGACCUUCGGGCCUUGCGCGGAUAGAUGAGCCGAUGUCGGAUUAGCUAGUUGGCGGGGUAAAGGCCCACCAAGGCGACGAUCCGUAGCUGGUCUGAGAGGAUGAUCGGCCACACUGGAACGGAGACACGGUGCAUACUCCUACGGGAGGGGGCAUUGGAGAAUAUUGGACAAUGGGCGCAAGCCUGAUCCAGCCAUACCGCGUGGGUGAAGAAGGCCUUCGGGUUGUAAAGCCCUUUUGUUGGGAAAGAAAAGCAGCCAGUUAAUACCUGGUUGUUCUGACGGUACCCAAAGAAUAAGCACCGGCUAACUUCGUGCCAGCCGCCGCCGUAA